rnacentral:rRNA from 1 species
UGGGGAAUAUUGCACAAUGGGCGCAAGCCUGAUGCAGCCAUGCCGCGUGUGUGAAGAAGGCCUUCGGGUUGUAAAGCACUUUCAGCGGGGAGGAAGGCGGUGAGGUUAAUAACCUCACCGAUUGACGUCACCCGCAGAAGAAGCACCGGCUAACUCCGUGCCAGCAGCCGCGGUAAUACGGAGGGUGCAAGCGUUAAUCGGAAUUACUGGGCGUAAAGCGCACGCAGGCGGUCUGUCAAGUCGGAUGUGAAAUCCCCGGGCUCAACCUGGGAACUGCAUUCGAAACUGGCAGGCUAGAGUCUUGUAGAGGGGGGUAGAAUUCCAGGUGUAGCGGUGAAAUGCGUAGAGAUCUGGAGGAAUACCGGUGGCGAAGGCGGCCCCCUGGACAAAGACUGACGCUCAGGUGCGAAAGCGUGGGGAGCAAACAGG